UGGAGAUUUUUUUCUUUUUCCUUUGUUACUUUCUGUUGGAUGUCUACAUUGAAUCAUCAUUAUCCUGUUCUGGUUUAUCCAAGGCUUCUGCUCUCCACCUUUCUUUAGCUAUGCAGGCUCUGUUGUCUAGGAAGCUACAUUUGGCAGUGGACCUUUUUGGCUAUGGCAUCUGCAUUGUGGAAUAUUUUACCUCACAAGACCUUUUCCAACUGGACUGAGCAGCUGAAAUUCUUCAGUUUUUUUUUUUUUUACUUCAUCUGAAAAACAUACCAUUGGUACAAAAGCAGAGCUGACAGAUUUCCUAUCAAUGGAAAUGAUAUAUCGAACACAAUCCUUUAGUUUUUAUCCUGUCCCACAAAAUCUUCUGGAUGAGAAGAACAGAGCAACAUUGUCUAACCAAACAAGUCUAAGAAUCUGGAGAGUGAAUGAAAAUUCAUAAGCUAAACAAUAAAAGUUGUUUAGCAUCGUUUGAAGGAAGCACCCGAAGCACAAAUCCUGUAUCACACAAGUUGCUAUGCUGAUUGGAAAUUACAGAACUGAAUUCAACACACUUGAAUUCAGAGCUGCAGCUUGUAAGCAAGUUGUUCAUCUGGAUCUUCUUCCAUUUUCCAUUUACACAAAUUGCAAGUUAAACACACUUGAGUGUGGGACAUGAAGCCAUUGCAACAUUUGACUCCAUAAUUCCCAGGACAUUUAUGUUCACAUUUUAAACAGAAAGUUCAUUCAGUUAGCAAAACAUGCCUUUAGGCUGUUUAUAUGAUAAAAGGAAAAACAGAGAGGCAUAUAUUCUCUUACUUCUAGCAGACAACAGUAAUAAUGGAAGGUUUUAAAAACAUAAUUGCAGAGAAACGUGACAAUUUCAGCUGUCAAAACUGCUCAGGGGGAAGCAGGUCUAAUACAAUGUAAUCCGAGGUUCAGCUUCACUACC